rnacentral:tRNA from 1 species
GGAGCGGUAGUUCAGUCGGUUAAAUACCGCCUGUCACGGCAGGGGGUCGCGGGUUCGAGUCCCGUCCGUUCCGCCA